ensembl:lncRNA uncharacterized LOC107683376
ACUGGUUAUUACUAUCAUUAUUAUAAAUGUACAUUUCACAUAGCCUAUAUAAUGUUUAAAAUUAGGGUGCCCGAAGGAGUUGACCUCAUUUUCCUGAUUUCUUGCAAGUGCCUUAAAAUUAAAGGUUCCUCUCAAAAAUAACCGUAUAAUUCGCACACCGUGUACACGAGGGGGGCAUGUGAAGGCCUAACGUUACAUGCUUUUGCACGCAUGCGGGUUGAAUAACCAGCACCCCUCGAUCUGACGCAAGUCUUGUAGCGAGGAUAACGCUGGGUACAUUGAGCCAUUCAGAGUCAAAUUCGGGCUCUGGGGUCGCUCAACCCCUCUUUCAGCACCCAAAAGUGAAUUUAGUCGGCGUUAAUCGUGAGUACUGCAUUUAAAAGGACCACAAGAGUCCCAAAAGAAAGUGCGAUGGCUUCGACGCCCUCCGCUUCAGCCCUGUCAGCAGUUCUCCGGUGUCAGGGGAAUAUCCUCGCCCGAAAACAGGCGAACAAGAAGCGGCCUCCAGCUUCGGUGUACGGGCUCGGGAUGACAUGUGGAGAUUCGGUCAGAUCUUCUUUUCGCUCUCUUUGGGGAUUCAUAUUCCACAGGGAGCGAGUGGAGAUUCCCGGAGUUUUGUCCGCUACUGCGCGAUUUGAAACGGGCUGUUCAGGAAAAUCUUCGAGAAGAAAUGGUGAAUCCAAAGAUCUUCUGCUCAAAAGCUCCCUAAAGACUGACAACAAAAUGUUAACUAUGAAAGUAUCAAGUGAACCAAAUCAGUGGCCAAAGACGAAACUGACGUCGGACAAUACUUUUGCUUUUAAAUCCCAACGUUAUCCAAAAGCUGUUUUAUCCAAAAACAGCCUGGUUCUUCGACUGGAUGGCACGUAUUUACGAAAACUAAACUCAGAGUAUCCAUGGACUUGUAUUUGUGUAGUUUGCGCUCGGAGUAAGAGCACGCUGAACCACAGUAAUGUGAAUCCAUUGUUUUCUCUUGGCUUAUUGUGGAUUUUAAAGAAUAAACUGAUAUAUAUAACAACCGCAGUGUCAGACAGUGUGCGGGAACUUGGAAUAGGCUGGAACCAGCUUCAUCCGGAUUUUGAUAAGUGUGUCAAAUGUACUUCUGAACAUCAUGAGGAUCAAGACACUGGAAGGAGUUGAACCUGGGAAAUGAUUUUUCUUCUAAAGACAAUAUGGAUGGCAUGCACUUCACACAAAUGCACUUUCAUAGAUGCGAAAUGUCAGUAAUUGUACUCUUAUGUUCUUUCAUGCGCUGUCUUCUUCACUUCAGCUUUAUGGAAUGUAUUGUAUUGUAUUGUUUUAUACACUGUCUGCUUGAUUUUGCACUGUUAUUGCCACCCAAAUGUUCCCUUUGUGGAGGAAGAAACUAUUAUUGCUAUUAUACUAUAUUACCAAACUGCUGACCAUAAUCAGCUUUUCUAAUAAUAACUUUUUUAAAUGUUUAUGAACAAGAAUGAAAAGGAAACUGAUGCUGCAAUGCUUGUUUGAUUUUGUGUAAAUAGGCCACAUAAUAAUAAUAAUAAAAAAAUGGAAUCAAGAAUGUGUUUUU